UCUUGAUGAAAUUUUAACUCACUUGAAUAGGUCUUAAAUGACUUUACAUUCUGAGCCUCUGUGAAAAAAAUUCUGUGUCAGUGCCACCAGAUAAAUCCCAGGUCCCUCCUCUGCUGAAUGGCUGUGGAGUUUCUUCAGGUUCCUCACGCACUCAGGUGCUCCCAAAUAAAACUUUCUGCCUCAUGGGAGUACUGUGAGUGUAAGGGAGGCUCAUAUCUGCUAACCCGAUGGGAUCCAUUGAGCUUCAGAGGUUCUCAGCUGACCUAGCUGUACUUCAGCCUUGCUCCAGCAUCAGACUUCUGAUCUUGAUUUAAGCAACACCUUCCUCAGCAUUAAGCAGCUUGCCCAGCAUUGACUGCCCUGUUUACAGAUAAAACCUGCUCCUCCAGCAAGAGGAGGAAAGCCUCCAAAACCCCUCACUUCACUGCCCUGGUCAGCUGUGACUGCUGCUUCAGGUUUCUGGUCCUGUGGUCGGUCUUGGAUCACUGUGUUUGGGUCAAUCCUUGAGGAGAUGCAAAUAGAGCUCCAAUUAAUGCAGUGCCGGAGGGGAUGUGUUGGGCUGUAGGUGGACCCUGCCUCUUGUACCAAGGCUUCCAUGACUUUAGGGAUGGUAAAUAAAGUCAGAGAGGCUGUUUCCUUCCUCAAGACAUGGGGAGGUGUGAAGAAGACACCAGUUUCAAAUGUGACAGACCUGAGGAAGCUCGAAGAGCAGAGGUGCUGUGCCCACAGUGGCUUCCCAGCCCCUGCCACGGACAUGGGGAAACUUGCUGGCAGCAGGAACAGUGCCAGGCUGCUGGGUGGAAAGGAGAGACCAUGGCUACAAAGAGUGGGAUUGAAUGCUGUUAAACAGAGCAUAAUGUACAAUGUUUAUUUGAAAUUAAUGAGGCUUGCAUGUCUUCAAAAUGCAUUUUAAUAUUUAAAUUGCUGCAAAAGUAAAUUAUUAAAACAAAGUGUCCAUGAAUUAUCACCCUUGAUCACCCAAGAUGCAGUACUAGAAAAUGAGAAACAAAGAGUGCCUAGGUCGGUGAGGUAAAGGAAAGGCUGUCCCCUUUUCAUGUUGAAUUUUUUACACUGCCAGAUCACCUCUUUUCAUUUCUGUUCAGCUGUGGGAAAGAUGUCUUAGGAAGGACGUCUUAAAAUGGGAUCCAAAUCAGGACCUAGUAUGGAACUCAGAGGUUUUGGUGUUCCAGCCACCAAUAUCCACAACUGAUGGAACAGAGCAAAUCCACCCACAUAAGUGGAUUAAUUCUGGCAUUAGACAGAGAAGAAACAGCUAUGUCAGGACCUUCCUCUCAUCUUCCUUACUUCCAGAGGAAGAUCAGUCCAGCAAUUAUUUCUACAUCUCCUCCCAAACAGUGCAAGAGAAGAGGGUUUUAUUAAGUGCUCCCAGCUUUCUAGAGGAAAAGAGUGUCUGAGCUUCCUCCCAGAUUUGCAGGGCUCCUGCUCUGUGCACACACUGUGAAGAAAACCAGAACAUGUGAGAUGGUGAGAGAUCAUUUCAUUGCAGAGAGCUACUCGACCUUGGAUCUCUGCCCUCCUUUGUUGGAAGAAUCCUUGGACAAGGGACAAGUUUUCUUUCUUCUGCUUGCAAGAGCAGGGCUACUGAUGGGUCUCUGUUUAACACAAGGAGUGAAGGGAAGCCCUAGGAAAUAACAAAAGUAUUUUGGUAUUAUUAAACUCAGGCUUUGUCUUACACCCUCUCCACCAAGAAUUUGUGAGAAUUUCAUAGAACAAGACGUGAAGAAAUCAAUAGAGGAAACAGCAUCUGAACCACAAUGCAGGCAUUUAAUGUCUCCUUGUGCAUUAAAUUACCCAAUUAAUGUUUCCUGUUGCCUUAGCCUGUUCUAAUAAGGCUUGACUGUCGCUUAUCAGCCCUUAAUCUUCUAAAUGAUGAGCAAGAACUGCAGCUGGAUUCACAAGAGCCUUUGGGGCACAAUACCAAACUCCCAGAGUGACAAAGAUCCAUCCUUGGAAUUAUGCUUAUUAGGGUUUCUCAUUCAUUAUCAUUUACUUCACAUAGAUAUCCACUAAUAAGAUCAGAUUGACUUUAUUAUUUAUUAUUUAUUAAGUACUAUUAAAAUAGAUCCACUGGACAAUCAUUUUCUGUGUAUAAGUAAUUCCUCAAUAAAUCAGCUUUUUUUGUUGCAUAAAAAUGUCAUUCCAGAUACCAAUACUUCUUUGAGUUAACUGAGUUUGCCUGCUAUGCGGGCUUAUUUUUCCUGAAAGGCUGCCAUUUAGUUUAGAAUGUUUUGGGGUAAGAAAAAAUUUUCCAGAGUAACUGAAAGUAAUUUUUAUGGGCUGUGUCCAUGACUUAGCUAAUUAGAAUAAAGAUGUUGGGAAAGAGUGGUAGGUAACAAGUAACUAACAGGGAUAAAUU